GAUCCAGUCAGACUUUGGAUCAGAGCCGAUCUCAGUGAAGGUUCUGAUGGACCAACAGAGACACUUCCUGGUCCUCUGGUCCAGUCUGCAGCCUCUUAUUGAUCACUAUUGAUUAUUGAUGACAGAAUGAAGAUCUGAAGGAACUGAAUCAUUUCUGCUGCCUGAGGAACCAGUUCAUGACUGGAACUGGAACUGGUUUGGAUCCAUCAGGGAGGAGAAGAGUCCAGUCUGACCAGAACCACCAUCAUCCUCCCCCAAAUCUCUGAACCUUUUGCUUCCAGUCCAGAAUCUGGAUCUUUAACUGUGGCUCCUACACCAAUCGAUUACAGAUCUUUAAAAAUCUGACCUGCUGGUUCCAAUUUUGGCCAAUACCAUUUUUUUUUAUCAGAAAUGUUGCUACAUAUGGGGAGAGAAUUGCCCUUUUCASACUGUAGGGUCUGGCUCGGUUCGGCCCGGCUCGGUUUGACCCGGUCCCAUUGGUGCCAUGGCCCUGGUCGUUUUGCRUUCAUCAGGAUACGUCACGUAAAUCGACCCGUUGCUAAGGCUACCGAGGCGAUCUCCCCAGCGACUGCAGAACAGUUUUCUUCUUGGGUCCCGUCCUGCUGUUUCUGUUUGCGCUCAUGAGCGAGGAAGGGAAACAUUGACCUUCACAUUUAACCAAAAAUAAUUCUCAUCUGAAUGUCGUCUGUGAGAUGGACUCGGCCGGCUGAACUACUGCUGGCACGCGGGAUUUCCCGCCAGAGGCAGAAAUAACUURGUUUACAUCCUGAACGACUUCUGAUCGGUUCAUUAGAGAAAUGUUAUUUACAUUUUCCAUUAAAUCUUUGGCUGAAGAGGCRAAUCUAUUCCCAGUGUAGAGUAAGAACAGAUUAUGACRGRAAUUUAUUGAUGCAGCAUAUUGAAAUGACAGCCAUGGAGAAAGUCCAGUUCUCCUCUGACCCAGAGAUCUGGUCUUUGUCCCGCCCCCACAGCCAAUGAACCAAUCAACAGCUAACUCCAAACCGGCCCUGUCUGGCCGGCCCAAUUGGAACCACAGCUCUCUGGGAUCUGAUUCUGACCCUGUUGGCUUCCCGUAGCUUUACAGUCUGAGGUCUGACGUUGUUCUGACUGAUCAGCUGUGUGCCGCCGGUCUGAGCCGGUCCUCAGAUGGACGAUGAGGAGGAUCUGCAGUGGUCGGUCCGGUGGUCUGAUAUCCGUCACUGAGCCGAUCAGCUGCUGCUGGACGUCCCUCCAUCCAACAUCUGAGGCUUCGUGACAUAAUGUGACACUUUGGGGCCUUUUACUGUCCAGCUGCUGCUCAGUGUGUCUGGUCACCCAGUGGACAUGUCCCACAAUGCACUGGGUAAAAACUCACUGAGUGUUGAUGCUGACUGACAGCAGGCUGGACUAAAAUCAUAGAGAAACAUUACAAAAUAUCAGCAGCAGCUCAUUUACAGUCAUUAACUCCACAUGGCAACAAUACAUAUUUAUACUUUGGUUCAGUAUAUUUUAUAUAUCUUUUAUAUCUUUUAUGUCUCAUUUUAUUCAUUUCAGGAAAAAUAAUAUUUCAGUAAUCUGGUUCUCUAUAGAUUAUUUUUACCAUUAAUCAAGUAAUCCUCUCUCUCUCUCACCUUCUUGCCUUUUGCUCUGAAACGGUUUCUGGGAGGAGAAAAGCAGAUGAAACCCUUUAAACUUCAGCGUCUUGCUGUUAGCGCUUAGCAACAGGUGGAAGUGAGAGGCUGCCCACCACAAAUGAUGACCUGGGCGAAACACCAUGUGAUAAAUAAUAUAAACAAUUUAACGAAGCUUCAAGUCGGGUCAAUUUUCCUCGAGGAAUUUUAAUAAUCGAGGUUCUGGGAUCAUUCGAGGAAUCGUUGCAUCCUAAUUUGUUGUAUGUUGCAUUUAUGUUAAUGUUUUAAAAAACAUAACUUUGAAUUUAAAACCUUUAAAACCUUUGAUCUGACUUAUUACCAAAAGGUCAUUAAAUAAUUUGGUCACUAACAGAAUUAUUCCAUAUUUAGUUACUGAGGCUCUGGACUCAGUUUCUAUGUUACCAAAUACAGUGUUCAUAUUCUGUGCUUGUAUAUCUAUAAUCAUCAUUUUUGCUCAUGUUUUUGAAUAUUUUCAUGUCUUGUGAAUGUUUUCGGCGCUUUGAGGCUGAAAUGAAUCCGUCUGGUUUCUGAGUUAAUCUGGAUGUUUGUUUCUGCUGAUCCUGUUUUUCUCUUUUCUCUGAACAUUCAGGAUGAAGAAAGUUUUAUUUUUGAUUUGACUCCAUUUACUGGAUGUUUCCUGAAUCUGCAGAAUCACCUUGACAAUCAUUUGAAUUAUUGAUCCAUCCUCAUUUUCAAUCAGCUGAUCUCUAAUGACAGAUGAACUGAUUGGUACUGAAGGUUAAACAAUAUUUAUUUAAAUAAAAAUAUCUGUUGCAGGAAUUCAUGACUAAACAGUUUUUAUAUUAAUUUGAUGUGUUUUCUAUGAUGUGACUUAAAAUAACAUCUGAUUUUCCUGAUAAAAGAACAAAUCAAAUUCCAGAUUUUAGUAGAUUUUUUGUCUCCCUUUUAUAAAAAAAUAGAAAUUGUUUUUCAGAAACUUUGUUUUAUUUACUUAUUUAUUUCAACCAUCCCUUCAGGGACUUGACCUGAAUUCAACGUCCCACUAAAACAUUCUGGUUCUGGUUCUGGUUCUGAUUGAACCGACUUCACUCUGAACUACAGAAACCAAAACGGAUCAGUGAUGGAAAAACAUCCAGAUUUUACAAAAAUUAAAUCCUCAUUAACAGAACAAUUUAUCACCCAGUCCUACUUUUUUCAGUCUUUCUCUGUAAAUGAGAGUUUUAGUUUUUAAUCUCAUUUCUGGGUGAAUUUAUUGUAUUUAUUUUUGCUGAGUUUUGAUAAUCAUGUCUGCUAAAAUGCCAAGAUGUGCUGACUAACAAUACAGUGUGUGAUAAUAAAUAGUUCAGAAAA